GAUGAACGCUGGCGGCGUGCUUAACACAUGCAAGUCGAACGGUGAAGCCAAGCUUGCUUGGUGGAUCAGUGGCGAACGGGCGAGUAACACGUGAGCAACCUGCCCUGGACUCUGGGAUAAGCGCUGGAAACGGUGUCUAAUACUGGAUAUGAGCUUUCACCGCAUGGUGGGGGUUGGAAAGAUUUUUCGGUCUGGGAUGGGCUCGCGGCCUAUCAGCUUGUUGGUGAGGUAAUGGCUCACCAAGGCGUCGACGGGUAGCCGGCCUGAGAGGGUAACCGGCCACACUGGGACUGAGACACGGCCCAGACUCCUACGGGAGGCAGCAGUGGGGAAUAUUGCACAAUGGGCGGAAGCCUGAUGCAGCAACGCCGCGUGAGGGAUGACGGCCUUCGGGUUGUAAACCUCUUUUAGCAGGGAAGAAGCUUUUGUGACGGUACCUGCAGAAAAAGCGCCGGCUAACUACGUGCCAGCAGCCGCAGUAA
rnacentral:rRNA from 1 species